CCCUUAGAUGUUCUGGGCCGCACGCGCGCUACACUGACGAAUGCAACGAGCUUAUAACCUUGGCCGAAAGGUCUGGGUAAUCUCCAAAUUUCGUCGUGAUGGGGAUAGAUUAUUGCAAUUAUUAAUCUUCAACGAGGAAUGCCUAGUAAGCGCAAGUCAUCAGCUUGCGUUGAUUACGUCCCUGCCCUUUGUACACACCGCCCGUCGCACCUACCGAUUGAAUGGUCCGGUGAAUUCUUCGGACUGUGGCUUUGGAUCGGUUUCGGCCGAGACGCUGCCGUGGGAAGUUGUUUAAACCUUACCAUUUAGAGGAAGGUGAAGUCGUAACA
rnacentral:rRNA from 1 species